CCGAAAGUACGGACCGACCCGAGAGCUAUUUCAAGGAAGCAACCAACGGUGUUACAAAAUCCUUGAAAAUUCAGGAUUUCAUCGUCAAAUCUCUCGUCCAAUUUCAUCAACCUAUCAACGUCUUCUUUCGAAUCGGAUUAAGUUAAACACGCUCUAGUGUGGAUUCAUGGGGACUAGUGUUGAUGCUGCAAAUACGGAAAGAAACAAAACUACUCUUAGUGAAAAGAAUCCCAAAAUUGUGUUUGUCCUAGGAGGCCCGGGCAGUGGUAAGGGUACACAAUGUGCAAAUAUUGUAGAGCACUUCGGGUAUACCCAUCUCAGUGCUGGAGAUCUUCUCCGGGCCGAAGCACAAUCCGGGUCUAAAAACGGGACCAUGAUUGAGAACAUGAUGUCUGAAGGAGUAAUUGUUCCUUCAGAAAUAACGAUUAAGCUUCUUGAAAAGGCGAUGUUGGAAAACGAGAAUGACAAAUUUCUAAUUGACGGGUUUCCUCGUAAUGAGGAAAACCGGGCAGCCUUUGAGUCAAUUACUGGAAUUGAACCCGAGUUUGUUCUUUUCUUUGAUUGUUCUGAGGAAGAGAUGGAGAGGCGUCUGUUGACCCGCAACCAGGGGAGAGUAGAUGAUAACAUCGACACAAUAAGGAAGCGUUUCAAAGUUUUUUUGGAAUCUAGUCUCGAUGUUAUCAACUAUUACAACUCUAAGGGGAAGGUAAAAAAGAUUGAUGCUGGUAAGCCUGCCGGAGAAGUCUUUGAAGCGGUAAAGGCUGUUUUCGCCCCUAUUAGAUGAUAAGGUAAAGUAUGCCAUUGAUGCGGUUGACUAGAGUUAAUGAAUCGCUUGUCAAAGAGGGUCCCUAACCAAGUUGAGCCUAGCAUGAGCAAAUUUGAGUGAACACAAGUUUUGGUUGAUAUGGCGAUGCAUCAAUGUACCACGAGACCGAUCAUGGUGAGUUAGUUUAAGGUUAUACGAAUCAUCAAAUGUUAUAUAGAUUGAACAAACUUUAUAUGUAUCAUAUGCUUGCACAACGAAUCGUAACAUUAUUAUCAU